GAGAAGCUGUGCCUAGGAGGACCUGAGGUGGCAGGGCAGAAAAAGAGACAGAGAGAAGGAGAGAGAAGCCUGCUGCAGGAGCUAACUGCAUUUCCAGCAACUGUGGAGGAAUCCUGUGACAUUUUUUCCCCAAGGAAUAAACAGAUCUAUGGAGAGUGGACUAGAAGUUUUCUUCAAAGGGAAUGCACCCAAGAGACUGCCUGGAGGAGCUAAAUGAUUCGGCACACAGACCCCCAAAGAAUGUGGUGGCAUCCUGACCUUCCAAGCUGGAGAAGAGAUAUCCCUUGACUCAUGGAAGUUGCAUGUGGAUGAUGCCCGCAAAGAGAAUCUUGGAGAUACCACAAAAAGUACCUUCUGAGAGAAACAAUCAGCCUUGAGUAUGUUGAAGCCAGAAGAGCACCAGAAUCAGAUCACCACAGCCUCAGCCACAUGAAGCUGCAUACUCCCGCCACCAGAUCCCCUAGACUUUAUCUUCCCCAGGAGUCAGAAACAACAGCUAAUGGGAGAGGUGAGUGCAGCAAAGAGACUGACCCCACCGUCCCUCCCACUGCAGACUUCUGGCAUGGAAUAGGCCAAGCAGGAGAGGAGAAAGCCAUAAUGUUGGUUAAAGUGAUGGAUUUCAAUCAUUUUACUGGACAUGAUGGUUUACAGAAAUGAGGGCAUAAUUAGAUGAAAAUAACCAGAUAACUUUUCAUUAUUUCAGAGUGACCCGAAAAGCUCUGGAAGAUGCCAGAGACUUCAUCUAGGUCAGGGGAAGAAAAAACCAUAGAGAUGAUUUCAAGGUAAGGGAUAAUGUUUUCUGUUUGUGCUUUAUCAAGUUCCGUUCAUUUAAUAUACUGCUGUAAUAAUUAUAGAUACAUGUAUAUGUGUGUUGCAAUGCCCUCGGUAACGGGAAUCGGGAUAUGUGGAUUUGGGUAUGUGAUUGGCUCCUUUCCUUGGCAGGUAGAGUAAACCAGGCAAAGAAACAGUAGCCAGGCCCCUCACCAAACCAAAAGAUAGAGGAUGGGUGCCUUUCAGUCCACUAUUUUGCUGGUCUAGUCUCCCCCAGAACAGGUUGAUUAAAUGGUUGUCUACUACCUGGGAGAUUCCUGGGAACUCUGCCUGGUCCCAGAAACCAGGACAGACACCACCAGGUGGCACCAAACUGUAGCCAAACCAAAAAGAGAUUGUACUGGACCCUAAAAUUUCGCAGCCUGGGCUUUUGUUCAGUUGUGUCCAUUAAUACAAAUGAAUGAGAGACAUUUAAGUGGGGUGAUGGAAGUCUUCAACAAUUGGAUUGUGCUGCUGGCUGAACAGCUCUGUAAGUCAUUUAAUUGUACACUUCGUGAAUUUUAUGGUGUUUAUACCUUAAUAAAGCUGUUUUAAAAAAUGUAAUUAAAAAACA